rnacentral:rRNA from 1 species
UACGGAGGGUGCGAGCGUUAUCCGGAAUUACUGGGCUUAAAGGGCGCGUAGGCGGCUGUGUAAGUCAGGUGUGAAAGUUUGCGGCUCAACCGUAAAAUUGCUUUUGAUACUGCAUGGCUAGAAUCAGGAUGAGGUUAGCGGAAUGUGGCAUGUAGCGGUGAAAUGCAUAGAUAUGCCAUAGAACACCAAUUGCGAAGGCAGCUGGCUAGGCCUGUAUUGACGCUGAGGCACGAAAGCGUGGGGAGCGAACAGG